UUUUUUGGGGUUAGAAUAUGUUAGAAUACAAUAAGUUCGAUUGAUUACAGUUGCUAGAUAUGCAUGAAGAGUGUUUAGAAGUGAGUAAAAAGACUUGUUGAAAUUUGGUCCCAAAUGGGCUAAGAAUCCAUAAAACAUGUCUUUUCAGCUGUAAAUGGUUUGUCUAGUGUUGUUUGGGGUUAGAAUAUGUUAGAAUACAAUAAAUUUGAUUGAAUACAAGUGCUAGAGAUGCAUGAACAGUGUUUAGAAGUGUGGAGAAAGACUUGUUGAAAUUGGAUCCCAAAUGGGCUAAGAACUCGGAAACAUUGCGUUGAACUACUAAAUGACUUAUCUAGUGUUGUUUGGGGUUAGAAUAUGUUAGAAUACAAAAAAUUUGAUUGAUAACAAGUGCUAAAGAUGCAUGAAAAGUGUUUAGAUGUGUUGAGAAAAACUUGUUGAAAUUGGGUCCCAAAUGGGCUAAGAACUUGAAAACAUUGCGUUGAACCACUAAACGACUUUUCUAGUGUUGUUUGGGGUUAGAAUAUAUUACAAUACAAUAAAUUUGAUAGAUUACAAGUACUAAAGAUGCAUGAACAGUGUUUAGAUGUGUUGAGAAAGACUUGUUGAAAUUAAAUCCCAAAUGGGCUACGAACUCGGAAACAUUGCGUUGAACCACUAAAUGACUUAUCUAGUGUUGUUUGGGGUUAGAAUAUGUUAGAUUACAAUAAAUUUGAUUGAUUACAAGUGCUAGAUAUGAGUGAAGAGUGUUUAGAAGUGUGUAAAAAGACUUGCUGAAAUUUGGUCCAAAAAGGGCUAAGAACCCACAACCAUUGAUUUGAAGCAUUAAAUGGCUUGUGUAGUGUUGUGUGGGGUUAGAAUAUGUUAGAAUACAAUAAAUUCGAUUGAUUACAGGUGCUAGAUAUGCAUGAANNNNNNNNNNNNNNNNNNNNNNNNNNNNNNNNNNNNNNNNNNNNNNNNNNNNNNNNNNNNNNNNNNNNNNNNNNNNNNNNNNNNNNNNNNNNNNNNNNNNAUGAAAGAGUGUUUAAAAAGUGUGAAAAAAGUCUUGGUUGAAAUUUUGUUCCAAAAGGGGGCUAAAGAAACUCAUAAACCAUUUCUUUGAGGCAGUGAAUGGCUUGGAUAAAGUUAUUUUGGGUUAGAAAAUGUUAUAAUACAAUGAAUUUGAUUGAUUACAAGUGCUAGAGAUACAUGAAGAAUGUUUAGAAGUGAGAAGAAAGACUUGUUGAUAUUUGGUCCCAAAUGGGAUAAGAACCCAAAACCAUUGCUUUGAGGCAGUGAAUGAAUUGUCUAGUGUUGUUUGGGGUUAGAAUAUGAUACAAUACAAUAAAUUUGAUUGAAAAAAAGUGCUAAAGAUGCAUGAAAAGUGUUUAGAUGUGUUGAGAAAGACUUGUUGAAAUUGGGUCCCAAAUGGGCUAAGAACUUGGAAACAUUGCGUUGAACCACUAAAUGACUUAUCUAGUGUUGUUUGGGGUUAGAAUAUGUUAGAAUACAAUAAAUUUGAUUGAUUAUAAGUACUAAAGAUGCAUGAAGAGUGUUUAGAUGUGUUGAGAAAGACUUGUUAAAAUUGGGUCCCAAAUGGUCUACGAACUCGGAAACAUUGCGUAGAACCACUAAAUGACUUAUCUAGUGUUGUUUGGAAUAAGAAUAUGUUAGAUUACAAUAUAUUUAAUUGAUUACAAGCGCUAGAUAUGCAUGAAGAGUGUUAAGAAGUGUGUAAAAAUACUAGUUGAAAUUUGGUCCCAAAUGGGCUAAGAAUCUAUAAACAUCUCUUUUGAGCUGUUAAUGGUUUGUCUAGUGUUAUUUAGGGUUAGAACAUGUUUGAAUACAACAAAUUUGAUUGAUUACAAGGGGUAGAGAUGCAUGAAAAGUUUGUAGAAGUGUGGAGAAAGACUUGUUGAAAUUGGGUCCCAAAUGGGCUAAGAACUCGGAAAUAUUGCGUUGAACCACUAAAUGACUUAUCUAGUGUUGUUUAGGGUUAGAAUAUGUUAGAAUAUAAUGAAUUUGAUAUAUAACAAGUGCUAAGAUGCAUGAAAAGUGUUUAGAUGUGUUGAGAAAGACUUGUUGAAAUUGGGUCCCAAAUGGGCUACGAACUUGGAAACAUUGCGUUGAACCACUAAAUGACUUAUCUAGUGUUUUUUGGGGUUAGAAUAUGUUAGAAUACAAUAAAUUUGAUUGAUAACAAGAGCUAAAGAUGCAUGGAAAAUGUUUAGAAGUGUGUAAAA
rnacentral:lncRNA from 1 species